rnacentral:rRNA from 12 species
GCUCAAGAUGUAGUUGUAUUGCGAAUGCCUGAUUUUGGAAGCUAAGCAGGACCAGGCCUGGUUGGUACUUAGAUGGGAGACCACCUGGGAAUAUCGGGUGCUGUAAGCU